rnacentral:rRNA from 1 species
AUUGAACGCUAGCGGGAUGCUUUACACAUGCAAGUCGAACGAGUGGCGGACGGGUGAGUAAUAUAUCUGAACGUGCCCAGUAGGUGGGGUUCACUACCCGAAAGAGGGGCUAAUACCGCCUCCUAUUGGUGCGUCCGAUAUCGGAUUAGCUAGUUGGUGGGGUAAAGGUUCACCAAGGCAACGAUCCGUAGAUGGUUUGAGAGGACGAACAGCCAGACUGGGACGGAGACACGGCCCAGCCUCCUACGAGAGGCAGCAGUGGGGAAUUUUGGACAAUGGGGGAAACCCUGAUCCAGCCAUCCCGCGUGUAUGAGAAGGCCUUCGGGUUGUAAAGUACUGUUGGCAGAGAAGCGGUAUCUGCAGAAUAAGCACCGGCUAACUACGUGCCAGCAGCCGCGGUAAUUC